rnacentral:tRNA from 1 species
CUGGGUGUGGCGCAGUUGGUAGCGCGCUACCUUGGGGUGGUAGAGGCCGCAAGUUCA